CUGAGGAGCGAAAGCGUGGGGAGCGAACAGGAUUAGAUACCCUGGUAGUCCACGCCGUAAACGGUGGGUACUAGGUGUGGGUUUCCUUCCUUGGGAUCCGUGCCGUAGCUAACGCAUUAAGUACCCCGCCUGGGGAGUACGGCCGCAAGGCUAAAACUCAAAGAAAUUGACGGGGGCCCGCACAAGCGGCGGAGCAUGUGGAUUAAUUCGAUGCAACGCGAAGAACCUUACCUGGGUUUGACAUGCACAGGACGACUGCAGAGAUGUGGUUUCCCUUGUGGCCUGUGUGCAGGUGGUGCAUGGCUGUCGUCAGCUCGUGUCGUGAGAUGUUGGGUUAAGUCCCGCAACGAGCGCAACCCUUGUCUCAUGUUGCCAGCACGUAAUGGUGGGGACUCGUGAGAGACUGCCGGGGUCAACUUCGGAGGAAGGUGGGGAUGACGUCAAGUCAUCAUGACCCCCAUUAUUCUCCAGGGUUAUCACACAUGACACAGGGCCGGUACCAAGGGCUUCGAUUCCGUGAAGUUGGACGGAAUCCUUUGUAAAGCCGGUCUCAGUUCGGAUCGGGGUAUGCAACUCGACCCCGUGAAGUCGGAGUCGCUAGUAAUCGCAGAUCAGCACGCUGCGGUGAUACGUUCCCGGGC
rnacentral:rRNA from 1 species